GUGCUCGCUUCAGCAGCACAUAUACUAAAAUUGGAACGAUACAGAGAAGAUUUGCAUGGCCUCUGCGCAAGGA
rnacentral:snRNA from 1 species